UAUAACAUUACCAGACUGCCGCUUGCUUUAAACGGCUUGCCGGCGAAUGAUGGAGUUUCGCGUAAAUGCGUGCUCUUAAAUAAUUCACUCAACGUGUGAGCCAGUCCAUUUUGCAACAUCGGACAUUACCGUUCGUUGACGUUCUGUGGGAUUACGGCGGGUUGUGUGUCCUAGAGAUUUUAUAUUCUUGCGACCCUCCCGAUAACCGGAAACCCGAACUCUUCGAAAUGCGGUUUCGUUCCGGCAAAUUUGGACGAUUCAAAGGUUCCUCGUCGAUUUUGUGUGCGCUUGCUUACUAACGUUUGCGAGCACAUCAUAAUCAUAAUA
rnacentral:misc_RNA from 1 species